rnacentral:rRNA from 1 species
GACGAACGCUGGCGGCGUGCUUAACACAUGCAAGUCGAACGGAAAGGCCCUGCUUUUGUGGGGUGCUCGAGUGGCGAACGGGUGAGUAACACGUGAGUAACCUGCCCUUGACUUUGGGAUAACUUCAGGAAACUGGGGCUAAUACCGGAUAGGAGCUCUUGCUGCAUGGUGGGGGUUGGAAAGUUUCGGCGGUUGGGGAUGGACUCGCGGCUUAUCAGCUUGUUGGUGGGGUAGUGGCUUACCAAGGCUUUGACGGGUAGCCGGCCUGAGAGGGUGACCGGCCACAUUGGGACUGAGAUACGGCCCAGACUGCUACGGGAGGCAGCAGUGGGGAAUAUUGCACAAUGGGCGGAAGCCUGAUGCAGCAACGCCGCGUGCGGGAUGACGGCCUUCGGGUUGUAAACCGCUUUCGCCUGUGACGAAGCGUGAGUGACGGUAAUGGGUAAAGAAGCACCGGCUAACUACGUG